rnacentral:tRNA from 1 species
AAGACUUUAAGUUUAAACUAAACUUAUAACCUUCAAAGUUAUAUAUAUCUAAAGACUAUAUAGGUAAGUCUUA